UGAGCAAUCUGCCCUUCUCAUCGGAAUAAGCGUUGGAAACGACGUCUAAUGCCGAAUACGACCUCCUUUCGCAUGAUCGGAGGUGGAAAGCUCCGGCGGAGAAGGAUGAGCUCGCGGCCUAUCAGCUAGUUGGUGUGGGUAAUGGCCCACCAAGGCGACGACGGGUAGCUGGUCUGAGAGGAUGGCCAGCCACAUUGGGACUGAGACACGGCCCAGACUCCGUAACGGGG
rnacentral:rRNA from 1 species